UACGUAAGAGGCAAGCGUUAUUCGUCAUUAAUGGGUCUAAAGGGUACGUAGGCGGUAGAAUAAAUCAAAUUUAAAAACAUUUUAAAAAAUGAAUCUGAAAAAUAUUUGACUAGAAUUUAAAAAGGUGUAACAAAUACUUAAGCAGGAGUGUAACAAUAUGGGAAUAACUUAAGGGUUGCUAAGUGGCGAAGGCAUGUUACAAUAUUAAAUUGACGCUGAGGUACGAAGGCAUGGGUAUCGAUCGGG
rnacentral:rRNA from 1 species